UACGUAGGGGGCAAGCGUUGUCCGGAUUUACUGGGCGUAAAGAGCGCGUAGGCGGAAGCUUAAGCGGUACCUGAAAGCCCCCGGCUCAACCGGGGAAGGUGGCGCCGAACUGGGCUUCUUGAGGGCGAUAGAGGAAAGUGGAAUUCCGGGUGUAGCGGUGAAAUGCGUAGAUAUCAGGAGGAACACCGGCGGUGUAGACGGCUUCUGGACCGUAGCUGACGCUGAGACACGAAAGCGUGGGUAGCAAACAGG
rnacentral:rRNA from 1 species